rnacentral:rRNA from 1 species
UUUCGCAAUGCCCGAAAGGGUGACGAAGCGACGCCGCGUGCGGGAAGAAGGCCUUCGGGUUGUAAACCGCUGUCGGGAGUUAAGAAAUGUAAGGAUGUUAAUGGCAUCUUUGCUUGACUAAGGCUCCGGAGGAAGCCACGGCUAACUCUGUGCCAGCAGCCGCGGUAAUACAGAGGCGGCAAGCGUUGUUCGGAAUUAUUGGGCGUAAAGAGCACGUAGGCGGCUAUGUAAGUCGGUUGUGAAAGCCUUCCGCUCAACGGGAGAACAGCAUCCGAUACUGCAUGGCUUGAGUGCGGGAGGGGAGAGUGGAACUUCUGGUGGAGCGGUGAAAUGCGUAGAUAUCAGAAGGAACGCCGGCGGCGAAAGCGACUCUCUGGCCCGUAACUGACGCUGAGUGUGCGAAAGCUAGGGGAGCAAACGGGAUUAGAUACCCCGGUAGUCCUAGCCGUAAACGAUGGGCACUAAGUAGAGGGGUUUU